rnacentral:rRNA from 1 species
UACGUAGGGGGCAAGCGUUGUCCGGAAUCAUUGGGCGUAAAGCGCGUGUAGGCGGUUCGGUAAGUCUGCUGUGAAAGUCCAGGGCUCAACCCUGGGAUGCCGGUGGAUACUGUCGGACUAGAGUACGGAAGAGGCGAGUGGAAUUCCCGGUGUAGCGGUGAAAUGCGCAGAUAUCGGGAGGAACACCAGUGGCGAAGGCGGCUCACUGGACCGGUACUGACGCUGAGGCGCGAAAGCGUGGGGAGCAAACAGG